AUUGAACGCUGGCGGCAUGCUUUACACAUGCAAGUCGAACGGUAACAGGGUGCUUGCACCGCUGACGAGUGGCGAACGGGUGAGUAAUGCAUCGGAAUGUACCGUGUAAUGGGGGAUAGCUCGGCGAAAGCCGGAUUAAUACCGUAUACGCCCUGAGGGGGAAAGUGGGGGACCGAAAGGCCUCACGUUAUACGAGCAGCCGAUGUCUGAUUAGCUAGUUGGUGAGGUAAAGGCUCACCAAGGCGUCGAUCAGUAGCGGGUCUGAGAGGAUGAUCCGCCACACUGGGACUGAGACACGGCCCAGACUCCUACGGGAGGCAGCAGUGGGGAAUUUUGGACAAUGGGCGCAAGCCUGAUCCAGCCAUGCCGCGUGUCUGAAGAAGGCCUUCGGGUUGUAAAGGACUUUUGUCCGGGAGCAAAUCCUAGUGGUUAAUAACCGCUGGGUCUGAGAGUACCGGAAGAAUAAGCACCGGCUAACUACGUG
rnacentral:rRNA from 1 species